GCCAUCUUAGGCUGAAAGACACCAUAUCCCGUCUGCUCUGUGAGAGUUAAGCAGCCUCAAGCUCGGGUAGUACUCGGGUCGGUG